rnacentral:lncRNA from 1 species
UUUUUUUUUUUUUUUUUUUGUCAACACAGGAGCUUUCGAUCCGACUAAUCUCCUGUUCUUAUGCAUCCCACCUCCUAAGGAUAUACAAGACAAGAUGGCAGAAGGAGCACACGGUGCCAGAAUCUAAAUAGGCAACCCUAUCAUCAGCCGAACCAACCCCGAGGGGCGACCGUGGGAGUUACUUGUACUUAAAGAAGAGAAAAAUGAAUUAUAAAUGUCUAAUGUGGAACGCUUGGACUCAAAGCCUAAUUGAGAUGGCAAGUUGUAAAUACUUUUGAGGGGUUCAAAUGAUAUGCUGCAAUAAUAUAAUCAACCAAUAGAACCUUCUUGGGCACAAUCUGGUUGCGGCACGAGCAUGGAAGCUAAUGCAGUCGAGUCAGUCUCAUAGAUGAACUCAUUCAUUUUGCAACACGCUUUUCAAAGUAAUUACUAGGUUUUUAAGAUCUGUAAUACAUUAGCAAAGUUGGUUAAGGAGCCCAAAUCCAUAAUCUAGCGAUUAAGGAAGCAACGCGAAAAAAAAAAAAAAGUGAUUUAGUGGGGGGAUUCAGAUCUGAAUCAGAUGAGGAAAGAGCUGUAAUUGUUGUUGGCAGCCUGGGUUGGGUACUAGUAGUCAAUAGGGAAUUGGCUAACGUGCCUCUCAUUUAUUUAUUGUCCCCAAAACUUAAAAACUAGAGUGAAACCCAGAUACGUAGCGUGCUAUGUUGGUCUGGUCCAUGUUCGUUCGACCUUUGCUUCAUCCAAACGUAAUCCAUACAAAUGCACCGCCUGAUCUGAUCGUCGAGCCCCGGUUCCCAACCGCACCAGAUUUGUCAUUUAUGUACUGCUACAACCACUAUUUCUUCUAUUGGAUUUCUACUAAUAAGUACUAUACUUUCAAACAAAUACCACUAUUGAGACAGACUGAAACUCCCACAAAACCGCAAUCUCAAUCAAUCACGUAUAUAUGCGUGUGUGUGUAUAUAUGCCCAUCUUUCCAUGCAACCAACUCUUUUACUCAGCUUUCACAUGCCCCAACGUGCUUUGCUGCUUAACAAGCACCGCCACCGCCAUAUUCCCUGGACCAAUCUAUUUUGUUUUCCGAAAAUAAAAUUUAUGAAAACGGAAAAAGGAAGAAGAACUUCAUUCCUUGGGUUUCCAGUCUUGUCUUUCCGACCUUUUUUUUUUUUAUCGAGUUCUAAACCUUGUCCUGACUGUUCCCUUUCCUAUCCUGUGUUAUGAUCUGGCAAAAACAGGCAAUUACUAGUAUUUACAAUGCUAACUGCUUCAUCGGCUGCUUCAAGUGUCAUUUAUUAUUAUUACUCCCUCCCUUUUUUUAUAACUGACGUUUAAGAAAAUUGCUCUAGUGUACUUUUAUCUGUCAUUUUAUUAUCCCCAUACAGUAUUAGUUAUUUUUUUACAAUUUUACCCUUUUAUCUCUCCUAGUAAUUAUUGCUUGUCUCUUUGUAACAACCCUAGUAAUUAUCUGCUCAUUUAGUACUCUAGUGAGAGAAAACAUGGAUGAAUUGAACAAUUAAUGAGGGUACAAAAGGAAAGUAGUGUACAGAUUUAAGCAAGUUAUAAAAAAAGGGAGGGAGUAUUAAUUAAUGGUCAAUCUCACCGCGUACUUUAUGCUCCAAACACCCCAAGGGUAGGGGUAAGGGUAAGAGUUUUUCUUCCAAGUUUCCCCGACUACACCACAAUACUGCCACCUCUUUCAGUUUCGGUCCUUCACAGAGAGGGAGUAAUUUUUCUACUUCGCCGUGUCGUUAAACCAAUGGAGAAUGGGGACAACUUCCCUUUUCCGCCACACAAACGAAAACACCACCAGAACUGGAACCACCCACGUUUCUUUCCGCUAAAACUUUGCUUCCUCACCCAAGGAUUAAAAUCUGAAAAUGAAAAGGAUUAAAAUCUGAAUUCUAAAUUAUUAAUGUUGAAAGGCUUUAACGGGGAGAUUCCAAUUGAUACACCGCAGCGCUUUUCACCCACUUUACAUUCUCCUAGCUAGCAUCCCUUUGCCUACCUACCUAAAAAUCUUCUAAUUCAACACCAAUAAGAACAUGGCUGGCGAACCUGCCUGCAUAAUAAGUCUGCUGAGAAUCCUCAAAUCCGCUACCAUGUUCUUUUAUAUGAGAAUCUAUUUUUGCCCACCACAACGUAAUCAAAUUACAGAACAUAUUCGCAAGUUUUGAGUUUGUCUUCUCAACUCACUCCCCACAUCCACAUGAGAACAGAUGGAACACGCAGCUAAAUCUCUGUUCAUUUUACAGCUAAGAAUAGGAGGAUUUCUUCAUAACGAAUAACCAAGAAGAUGUUUCAACAACAACAACAGCUGUUACAACGUGCACUUUCAUUCUCUUCGUGCCAAUCACCUUUGUUCUACAACUAUGUUCAAAGAAUAGAACAAUGAAUCAGGAGUCGCUACUAAAUUCUUGUAAGUGCAACCUUUAUUUCAUCAUUUACAUGUGCCAGCCCACCCCUACUCAAAGAAAUUAGGCUGGCAAUAAAUCAGUGACAGUGAGUGUGACAAUGCUACAAUAAAAUUUCACAAUCUUUUUACAUUUUGGGGUUUUCAUU